rnacentral:rRNA from 1 species
GCAAAACGCGAAGAACCUUACCAGGGCUUGACAUGCAAGUGAAUAUAUAAGAGAUUAUAUAGUCCUUCGGGACACUUGUGCAGGUGGUGCAUGGUUGUCGUCAGCUCGUGUCGUGAGAUGUUGGGUUAAAGUCCCGCAACGAGCGCAACCCCUAUUGUUAGUUGCCAGCAUGUAAAGAUGGGAACUCUAGCAAGACUGCCGGUGAUAAAUCGGAGGAAGGUGGGACGACGUCAAAUCAUCAUGCCCUUUAUGUCCUGGGCUACACACGUACUACAAUGGCCGUAACAGAGGGAAGCAAAGUAGAGAUACGGAGCAAAACCCCAAAAGCGGUCUCAGUUCGGAUUGAAGGCUGAAAUUCGCUUCAUGAAGCCGGAAUUGCUAGUAAUUGCAGGUCAGCAUACUGCAGUGAAUACGUUCCCGGGGUCUUGUACACA